UUGUCGGGGGCCCGCACAAGCGGUGGAGCAUGUGGUUUAAUUCGAAGCAACGCGAAGAACCUUACCAGGUCUUGACAUCCUCUGACAAUCCUAGAGAUAGGACGUCCCCUUCGGGGGCAGAGUGACAGGUGGUGCAUGGUUGUCGUCAGCUCGUGUCGUGAGAUGUUGGGUUAAGUCCCGCAACGAGCGCAACCCUUGAUCUUAGUUGCCAGCAUUCAGUUGGGCACUCUAAGGUGACUGCCGGUGACAAACCGGAGGAAGGUGGGGAUGACGUCAAAUCAUCAUGCCCCUUAUGACCUGGGCUACACACGUGCUACAAUGGACAGAACAAAGGGCAGCGAAACCGCGAGGUUAAGCC
rnacentral:rRNA from 1 species